rnacentral:snoRNA from 1 species
UUAACCUUACUUGAACAGGAUCUAUUCUAUAAGCUCGUACCACUGUAUCCUUGAAUUCUAAGGAGUCGGGAAAUUUCCUGUGGGACUACACUGA